rnacentral:rRNA from 1 species
UAUCAGAUUUCGAUUUAGCCAUGCGAGGCGAGAGGUGAAAGACCUCGCCGAACUGCUCAGUAACACGUAGUUAACUUACUCUUAGGUUGGGGAUAAUCUUGCGAAAGUGAGGCUAAUACCCAAUAGCUGUUUGGUGCUGGAAUGCGCUAACAGUUAAAAUUACGAUGCCUAAGAAUAGGACUGCGGCGUAUCAGGCGGUUGUGAGUGUAAAGUACUCACAAACCUAUAACGCGUAGGGGCCAUGAGAGUGGGAGCCUCGAGAUGCCUUCUGAGACAUGAAGGCAGGUCCUACGGGACGCAGCAGGCGCGAAAACUUUCCAAUUCAUUAACGUGUGAGAAGGGAAGUCUGAGUGCUCAUGUUUUACAUGAGCUUUUCUUUAGUCCAAAAAACUAGAGGAAUAAGUGGUGGGUAAGACAGGUGCCAGCCGCCGCGGUAAUACCUGCGCCACAAAUGGUGAUCACUAUUAUAGGGUCUAGAGCGUCCGUAGCCGGUUUAGCAAGUUCCUGGUGAAAUCUGGCAGCAAACUGUCAGGCGUGCUGGGAAUACUAUUAAACUUGAGAUUGGGAGAGGUCAGAGGUAGUCCAUGUGUAGGGGUUAAAUCCUUUAAUCCAUGGAGGACCACCGGUGGCGAAGGCGUCUGACUGGAACAAGUCUGACGGUGAGGGACGAAAGC